UACGAAGGGUGCAAGCGUUACUCGGAAUUACUGGGCGUAAAGCGUGCGUAGGUGGUUUGUUAAGUCUGUUGUGAAAGCCCCGGGCUCAACCUGGGAAUGGCAAUGGAUACUGGCAAGCUAGAGUGCGGUAGAGGGUAGUGGAAUUCCCGGUGUAGCGGUGAAAUGCGUAGAGAUCGGGAGGAACACCAGUGGCGAAGGCGGCUACCUGGACCAGCACUGACACUGAGGCACGAAAGCGUGGGGGAGCAAACAGG
rnacentral:rRNA from 1 species